rnacentral:rRNA from 1 species
GACGAACGCUGGCGGCGUGCUUAACACAUGCAAGUCGAACGGAAAGGCCCUGCUUUUGUGGGGUGCUCGAGUGGCGAACGGGUGAGUAACACGUGAGUAACCUGCCCUUGACUUUGGGAUAACUUCAGGAAACUGGGGCUAAUACCGGAUAGGAGCUCCUGCUGCAUGGUGGGGGUUAGAAAGUUUCGGCGGUUGGGGAUGGACUCGCGGCUUAUCAGCUUGUUGGUGGGGUAGUGGCUUACCAAGGCUUUGACGGGUAGCCGGCCUGAGAGGGUGACCGGCCACAUUGGGACUGAGAUACGGCCCAGAAUCCUACGGGAGGCAGCAGUGGGGAAUAUUGCACAAUGGGCGGAAGCCUGAUGCAGCAACGCCGCGUGCGGGAUGACGGCCUUCGGGUUGUAAACCGCUUUCGCCUGUGACGAAGCGUGAGUGACGGUAAUGGGUAAAGAAGCACCGGCUAACUACGUG